AUUCUGCCCAUGCGGGGAAGGAUGAGAAGCUUCGACCAAGGUGCGACUCGAGCGCCAGCGAGAGAGCGUUGCCGCAGGCAACGACCCGAAGGGUGAAGCGCGCAGCGCUGAGUAAUCCUUCCCCCACCACCA
rnacentral:sRNA from 1 species